rnacentral:lncRNA from 1 species
GGCUCUUGGUGUAAUCUUUUUGACAAAAAAAAUUGUUAACAGAAGAAUUAUGUUUUGCCUCCUUUUUAACUGUAUUGCAACAUAUUCAAGUAGAAAUUUCUGAAAGGUCAUUAAAAAAAUUGUUGGAAUACAUGACUACCUCUUUUAAAGGAUUCUGUUCGUUGUGAGGAUAUCCUUGUUCCCCUGUUGUUGUUCAACACUUCCUUGAUGUCUUGUCCACGUUCAGAAAAUUUCACCCUAACAUGAAGCAGUUGAAAAACAUUUUAACAAGAUUGAUAAUAAAUGGAAAGGUAACAAGUUGAUGUAAAACAAUUAACUGCUACGAAAUAGCAAACAAUCAUUUUGCACAAAAUGACCGAAUAAAGAUUACUGAGACAUUAUGUCAAGUCAGCACUAUCACCAACUGCCUGAAAUUGCAUAACUAGUCAAGAAAAUAAAAUAAUACUGUAAAAAGAUUAGAGUUCAUUUGUCAGUAUGUAUUAUGCAGUGGAAGUCAUUCACUAAUCAGAACAAGGUUGCUAAAUCAAUCUAUCCACAGCAAGGUCACAUAAACCCAAUGCUACAAUUCUCCAAGCGCUUAGCUGCAAAAGGCCUUAGAGUCACACCAGUCACCACCACAGCUCAUAGGUAGCAUAAUGUGUCUAAUUGAUUAUACGGAUAUAAUCAUAAUGUGUAAGAUAACAAUACUACUGUAAGAUAACAAUACAGGUAGCAUAAUUUUAUUUUUAUUUCUACCAGGAUAAAGUUUCAUCAUAAAUUACAUCCAACCAAAAAUAUAAUGAUACAGAAAUAAAUACUUACAAAACAGCUAGGGCAUGCAUUAGACCAAUCACUUCCGGUAUCUUUCCUGGUAACUUGUUGCCUUACAGAGACCUGGCAAAGAGAAAUUGAACGAUUAAUUCCAUCAUCUCAAGUACAAAAUUGGCACAAUUGAAUACAAAAGAUCUGACUAUACCCAUAGUCGCGAUCUUUCGAUGGAAACGUUCGAGCCCAGGAGUCGCAGUAGCCCUAACACUGACCGGAGAUCGCCAGCCAACACUAUAAAAGCCCUAGAUUUAUCCCAAAAAAAGGCAUCAUUAGCAGCAGUUUGAGAUCCAACAGAGACGCUCAUAAAAGCCCUAGAUUUAUCCAAAUUUCUCAAACCAAAACCUCGAAUUCCAUGCUUGAAACCGUGAAGCAAACCGAAUUAAAGCUCCUCAACGAUUCUAAAGCUUCAAAAUGGCGAGAUUUUGAGGAGAAAUUGAAGUUGUGAGCAGCAUUAGCAACUCCCGAUUCUCUACAAACAUCGCCAGCGACGGCGGCAUCGACACACCAGACUUUGACGAACUGGACAGGUCGAUGUUUCCUCCUUUCAGAAUCGCAGUCAUCAAAUCGAACGGAGACACAAUCAAAGAGCAGAUAGAGAGAAGGAAAACUGAAAAAGAAAAGGAACGAAGAGAGGAAACAGAAGAGAGGGAACAAAAACGAAAGCGAGAGAAGGAAACUGAAGAGAGGGAACAAAAUUUAAGCUCCGUCUUUUUAU